GAUGAACGCUGGCGGCGUGCCUAAUACAUGCAAGUCGAACGCGCAGCGAAAGGUGCUUGCACCUUUCAAGCGAGUGGCGAACGGGUGAGUAACACGUGGAUAACCUGCCUCAAGGCUGGGGAUAACAUUUGGAAACAGAUGCUAAUACCGAAUAAAACUUAGUAUCGCAUGAUACAAAGUUAAAAGGCGCUACGGCGUCACCUAGAGAUGGAUACGCGGUGCAUUAGUUAGUUGGGGGGGUAAAGGCUUACCAAGACGAUGACGCAUAGCCGAGUUGAGAGACUGAUCGGCCACAUUGGGACUGAGACACGGCCCAAACUCCUACGGGAGGCUGCAGUGGGGAAUCUUCCACAAUGGGCGCAAGCCUGAUGGAGCAACGCCGCGUGUGUGAUGAAGGCUUUCGGGUCGUAAAGCACUGUUGUAUGGGAAGAAAUGCUAAAAUAGGGAAUGAUUUUAGUUUGACGGUACCAUACCAGAAAGGGACGGCUAAAUACGUGCCAGCCGCCGCCGUAA
rnacentral:rRNA from 1 species